rnacentral:rRNA from 1 species
CUUGGUGGCCAUAGCGGGGGAUAAAACGCUCCAUUCCAUCCCGAACUGGACAGCGAAGGCCCCCAGCGGCGAUGAUA